CGGGCACCCGGAGACAGCCGAGGCGGGGGUCUCCCCCGGGGCCUGAGACUAGCGGAAGACGUCCUGGCCCGGCCAGAGCCGCUGUCUGAUUGACGAGGCCCGCUUGGGAGCGCGGACGUGCCACGCAGACUCGAGGAUCGCCCCCGGCCUCCUGGGCAGUGAUCAGCGCGGACCCUGGGCCAACGCGGGAGCAGGCCGGAGUACCAUCCCCCCCCAACCCCCAUUUUAGAACAUCCUUCAGAGGGCUUCUUUGACCUCGGCUUGAACUCCUUCAGGGCCGGCGAGAUCACUCCUUCCACCACCGGAGGGAGAAGAGGCAAAAUGAAUUUGCCAGCCCUGAAUUCAUUCUCAAGGCUACAAUAAUCUGACAGCCAGCAAACUCAGCCUGAAUUCCUGAGGGCUCAGAGGACUGCAGCUCAGGUCCAAAGGGGCUGGGGGACGGAGGGAGGAUGCCGGGAGCCUGCUUGAUUUUCCCAUGGGAAAUUCUGCCUCGCUAUGCCAUUAGGCACUUCUUUCUGGGCCUCAGUCCUUCGACCUGUCACAUGGACUGUUACCGCGCUGCUACUUUGCUACUGCUCUCACACAGGUGUCAGCUGAGCGUCCCCUGGGGAGGGUGGAUGCUAUGAAAGACUUCCAGACCUCUAGGGACACCAGGGAGGCACGGUCCCAGCACAUUCCUGUGGGAGGGAGCCCCAACCCCUCGUCAUCAAAGUGGCCCAGGUUCAUUAAGUUGGGACAUGAGGGUAGCCUGAGAAACCCUUGAAGGCCUGAUCCAGGGCUGGAAGGUGGCAAUUCCACUUGCUGAAAGCUCCUGUGCCCUGAGGGCUACCUCCUUUCUGGCGCUGGAGGGGGCGGAGAAGAUCUCAGAGCCUCAACAUCUCCCCUCCUCACCUGGACAGCAGUUGCCUGGCCUCAAGGCUCAUACCUCUUGCCCUGACCCUGUCAUGUAGCCAUUCUGGGUGGCUUCCAGAAUUGUCAGCAUUAUGUACUUACUGUUCUUCUCAUGCUCUGCCUACCUCCUGGGACGCACCCCUCCCAACCUUCCAGGCCACAUCUACAGCCACCUGCUGGGAAGCCUCUUCUGAUUACCUCUAGCAGAUGUGCUGCCUACUGGUCUCAACCCCAUAUGCUGCUGUCCCCAUAGCAUUGUCAUCGUUAUAGCAAUUACUGGUUAAGUUCUUACUAUGUGCCAGGCACUGUGUAUAAACUCCUCCAGUCCUCACUUGAGCUGAUUAUUAGGAUUAACGUCUCCAUUUUACAGAUGAGGAAAUUGAGGCACAGAGAGUUUCAUUUGCCUGGUGUGACACCUCACUAGUCAGGGACGUUAUUUGGUAUGCGCCCAUCUCCCCUCCCUGGGGACUGCAGGCUGUAGGAUGGCUCACUGCUCUAUCCCAUCACCCAGCAUAGCUGCUGAGUGACUGAUGGCUGGUCAAGUGCCGUGAGAGAUGCGGGGGGCACACAAGGAUGAACCAGACCCAACCUUCUGGGAGCUCACAGGCUAUCAGGAAGGACUACCCACACCAAAUGCCACUCUAAGAGUUUGGGGGAAAGAGACUAAUCGUCACUGUGUGAGGCCUGGAAGGCCGGCUUUGUUGGGGGCCUUGGAGAGACCAUAGACCAGAGUGAGGCGUGGACCUGCCCAAGGUCACACAGCAAGUUUGAGGCAGCAGUGGGGCUGAGACCCCGGGCUGCCAGUAUGACGUGCCUUCUUGCACCUUGCAGCCAGCUGUAGGGCCCCUGCGUCUGUGCUUUUUCAAGGACACAUGGCCUCAGACGCCUCCAUGAUGCUGAGCUGUUCAGUGAGUGGCUCCGGUCCUUCUCUCUCCUCUAUUAAAAUUUUAAAAAAAGAAGAAAGAAAGAAAGAAAGAAAUCCAGGCAUUGUUCCUGACUGCAGCUGGUGCCAACUAGAAUCCCGCCGAACAGAAUGGAGCGAGAGCCCUGCCGCCCAGGGGCCUGGCUGCUGACACAGGGCCUUUCUCUUUUGCUUCCCAAGGGGGGCCCAGGCUGAUGCUCCAUGGGCACCCUCUCCACCUGCCUCCCUGGCCACAGCCCUGAGCCUCCUGCUGCCCUCGCCCUCUUUGCGAAAAUCCGAUGCCACUUGGGAGGGCCAUUAGCCCCCUGCCUUCCUUCCUCAUCUCCCCACAGCCUGGAGUGAGCUGGCCCUCCCUCCCUGACAGCCCGGCCCCUCACCCUACCGGGAGGGGCCUGCGAUACCUCUCUGGGAGAGUGGCAGAAAUCCUUUCUCCAUGGAAUCAUUUGGAACACUGGUUCGAUUUCAGAACAUACCAGGAUUUUCCAUCUUCCCUGCCCCCAACCUGACUUGGCAGGAACUCCAGCCUGGAAAUGCUGAGCUACUUCUCUGGGGUGUCAUACGACAAGGGAGACCUUUGGCCCCAUGAAGCCCUUCAGAGAAUUGGAGGAAUUGACCCUGUCUCCCCGCGAGAAGGGUAGUUCCUGGGCCAAGUGGGCUAUUUGUGUACGCAGCUUAUCUCGCUGCCAGACUGAGAGGCAGCGCGGGCCUGUUGAAAGAGCGUGGACUUUGGAGCCGCACGACCUGGCCCUGCAUCCCAGCCC